AUGUUGGGAUCUGGUGAGGGGAAGCCGUCCUUCGCCUCGAUUU
rnacentral:rRNA from 1 species